UGACCUCGGAUCAGGUAGGGAUACCCGCUGAACUUAAGCAUAUCAAUAAGCGGAGGAAAAGAAACCAACCGGGAUUGCCUCAGUAACGGCGAGUGAAGCGGCAAGAGCUCAAAUUUGAAAGCUGGCUCCUUCGGAGUCCGCAUUGUAAUUUGCAGAGGAUGCUUUGGGUGCGGCCCCCGUCUAAGUGCCCUGGAACGGGCCGUCAGAGAGGGUGAGAAUCCCGUCUUGGGCGGGGUGUCCGUGCCCGUGUAAAGCUCCUUCGACGAGUCGAGUUGUUUGGGAAUGCAGCUCUAAAUGGGUGGUAAAUUUCAUCUAAAGCUAAAUACUGGCCGGAGACCGAUAGCGCACAAGUAGAGUGAUCGG
rnacentral:ncRNA from 1 species